CCAUCACCCGUUUCUUUUAAUUUCAUGGAAAUCUGUGAAAAUAUUCAAUAAAAUAAACGAUAAAUCACUUCUUGUUUUCUUAACUAUGAAAUGUCACGUCCAAUCCUUUUUUUGGAUAUAACAACACAAUUAUAAGCUACACACGAAGCAGACAUACUUAAAAUUGUUUAUAAGUACUAAAAUAAACAGAAGAAUUACAAAAAACACUUAGUAAAUCGUUACGGAAUCCGUUAUCUCCACAAGAAAACGCAUAUAAUCAAUUCACGAAACCAAUGUUUUGCCAUUAAGAUUUCUAUCCUUGCCACAAUACAUCGAUAUCAAUGGUCUCUCUCAGUCCAUGUUAUUAAGUGCUUUCCAGCCAACGUCAGGAGCUCCUCCCCAGCAAACACAAAUAAGUAUCAUAGAUAUAACAUACACAUUGCAACGUUCUAUAGGUGCUUUCCAGCCAACGUCAGGAGCUCCGAAGCGCACUUGUAGUGUUCCAAAUUCAAUUGAAGGUCGACAUAUGCUUUUAUAAAUUUUUGUAGCAUUUUGGAUGGUUAUACCUUGUUUUUAUAUGUAAGUUUGCCAAAGUAUUUGGCUCUAGUGAUAGUUUUCUUUUUUACUAGUUUCGUUUGCAGGUUGAAAUUCAGUUUAUUAUCAACCUGUACACCCAAAUAUUUCAUUGAAGUAGAAAUUUUUCCCUUUGGAAUCAUUCAUUUUGUUGCAUCCAUUAAACCAGUUGUUUUCUCUAUACUGAUGUAUCAUAUCUCUUUUGAAGUUUGAAAUUGUUUAUGAAAUGUUUUUUGGUAUGUAGCUGUUAAUGUUACUAUAGAGUAUUCUAAAUGUAAAUUUGCCUAUUAACUUCGUUGUUUAUUGGUUCAGUUGGUGAAGGCUCCUCAGGAUCCUCCAGAUCAAGCAUCAGAAUGUAGAAUCAGUUCCCCAAGAAAACAACUGUUGUGUCUUUAUUGAAUUGUCUAAUAAACUUUUGUUUCAAAGUAACUAUAAGUUACUUUCUGUCACUAUAUUUAGGAUUAUUUAACUUUCUAUUAUAAAUAUUCAUUAUUUCAUCAUGUUCUGUUAUUGGAGCAUAGAUCCAGCUUGUGUUUUUUGAGAGAUCUUCUAUUUCAUUUGUUUUUUCAUUAAGUGGCUUGACAUUAGCGUUUGAAAUACCUUCCAUGGGUUUUUUGGAUGUUUCGGACAUUUAAUGAACCAUGCCAUAUGGUCUUCUGCGCCACAAGACAAGCACUUGGGAGCAUUAUUGGUUUUGUACUGAGACAUAUUAUGUGGUCCUUGUCUUUUCGAUCAUUUUGGUGAAUUUGUGCAAGAAUCUGUUUUAUGGUCGAAUUGUAAACAUUUGUUGCAAGGUAUAGGAGUUGGGUCUGGAGGAUGGCUGGGAUAUACCAAAUAGUGUUGAUUAAUGAAAAAGAAUCCAUUAUUCCAAAGUGCUUCAAAUGAUUCAAUUUCACCCAUAAUUAUUCUAAUAAAUCUUGUGGGUUUUGAUUGGGCUCUUGUGAUGAUUCUUUUGCAGUAUCUAUGUUUUGUGAUAAAAGAUGCUGACUUAUUUCUUCUUCUUUGAUACACGUUUCCAUAUUUGAAAUCUCCACAGAGUACGCUUGUUGAGGCACUCUUCUUAUAUUCGUCGUUUUUUGCGCUGUUAUUCCCUUGUAACUGACUAUUUUCUUCUCGUUCUUUAGCUCUGACAGGACUUGUUCCAAUUCCCCGAGUUUGGUUUUGAGAAUUAUAUCUCUGGACAUAGAAAAUUUCGUAUUCCAAAUGGACGACAUUUGUAUUCUAUUUGUUUCAUUGUUUUCAGAAUUGAAAUAAAAUAAAUUUGAAUAUUCCACCUUCUUGAUGUCACUCAUCUUGGCUGAAACAUUUCUGUUUAUUAUUUUGGUUGGUUUGUUUGUUUUGGUUUUCGAUGUUUGGUGUUGUUGAUUAUUUUUUGUUGACAUGGCAGAUGUCGAAUGUUCUUUAUUUUCCUAAUCAAUUUCCUUUGGUGAAGAAAUGUUUCGAUACAUUACAGGAUCUUUUAUUAAUUGGGGUUGAUUGAAUACGAAAUCAGCAGAUUUAUUAUCGUUUUUUUUUUGUUUGUAUCUGUGGCGAUUUUAGGUUGACUUUUUCUUUUGUCUUUUACGCUUUGAAUCUUUCUGGUUUCUAGGUACUUCUCCUCCUGAAGAGGUAUUAGUAGAAGUGCCGUUGACCUGGGACAUUUCUGAUAGUUCAAGAACUAUCGAAGACUGCGGGCAAGCAGUAAUCAGCUUAGAAAUUCUGUUUAAUCGAAUUUGUUUACUAAUAACAAAAACAAUUAUUCACAUGUGCUCAUCAUGAAGGUUCAACACGAAUUUUUUAACAUUAUUUUCUCUAUUUCGCAAUAAUUCAAAAACACUACACACACAGAUACAAGAUCCUAAUUCUCAAAAUGUAUUUAUUUUGAAAUUGUGUAGAUUAGAUCUUGAAGAUUUCAAUAGUUCCUAUGAAAUAAAGGAAAAUAGGAUGUAGUCAAGCAACAAUACUUUUUACAAAAAUGUCAAACUUUGUUAAAUAUUCCAUUGAAAAUUCGAUUUUUUUAGAAGAACACUUUCGUAUGAAAAUUUCCAGUGUUUGUUGAAAUUGUUUUAUCUUCCAAUCUCUUAUAAUUAAAAAAAUGUUACAAUUAUUUUUUGGUUCUAGUUUUCAGUACACAACUGAUGGGGGGCAUAUUGAGGAUAAAAAGACUGAAAUCAUUGAUAUUGUUCAGCAUUACACUGAUGAUAAUGGAAUAAGAUCAUCUUUGAAAUAUGAAACAGGCGAGUUUUCUUUCAACCAGAAAAGCAAUCUUGAAGGACAUAUAGGUGCUGUACAUUUGAAUGAAAGGGAACAUGAAUGUCUCUUAUGUGAGUUUGCAGCCAAUCAGAAAGUUUUCAGUACACAACUGAUGGGGGGCAUAUUGAGGAUAAAAAGACUGAAAUCAUUGAUAUUGUUCAGCAUUACACUGAUGAUAAUGGAAUAAGAUCAUCUUUGAAAUAUGAAACAGGCGAGUUUUCUU